rnacentral:rRNA from 1 species
UACGUAGGGUGCGAGCGUUGUCCGGAAUUAUUGGGCGUAAAGAGCUCGUAGGCGGCUUGUCGCGUCGGAUGUGAAAGCCCGGGGCUCAACCCCGGGUCUGCAUUCGAUACGGGCAGGCUAGAGUUCGGUAGGGGAGAUCGGAAUUCCUGGUGUAGCGGUGAAAUGCGCAGAUAUCAGGAGGAACACCGGUGGCGAAGGCGGAUCUCUGGGCCGAUACUGACGCUGAGGAGCGAAAGCGUGGGGAGCGAACAGG